UACGUAGGGCGCAAGCGUUUAUCCGGAAUUAUUGGGCGUAAAGAGCUCGUAGGCGGUUUGUCGCGUCUGCCGUGAAAGUCCGGGGCUCAACUCCGGAUCUGCGGUGGGUACGGGCAGACUAGAGUGAUGUAGGGGAGACUGGAAUUCCUGGUGUAGCGGUGAAAUGCGCAGAUAUCAGGAGGAACACCGAUGGCGAAGGCGGCCCCUGGUUGGAUACUGACGCUGAUACGCGAAAGCGUGGGGAGCGAACAGG
rnacentral:rRNA from 1 species